GGCCAAUCUAAAAUCGAUUGGAGUUUAAUGGGGUCCAUCCUAAAUCCGUCUCCAGAAAUAACGUAGCCAAGAAAGUUUAUCUGAGAUUGGUCGAAGCUACACUUUUCCAAUUUGCAGUACAAUCCAUGUUGUAACAGUUUGCGCAGUACCCUUCUGACUUGUCUGUGGUGAGUCUCAAUCUCUCUGGAGUGUAUUAGUAUAUCAUCCAAAUAUACUAUAACGCAUUCAUGCUGAAAUUCCCUAAGAACCUCAUUAAUAAGGUCCUGGAAUACUGCAGGUGCAUUGCAAAGCCCGAAGGGCAUUACCGUGUAUUCAUAGUGGCC